CUGGCUCUCUAUUAUUUCGGACCCAGGCUUUACAAUGCCCUGUGCCAUUGACCUCUCCCUGUAAAAAGGGUGCAGGUCUCCCCUUUCUAGCUUGUCUUGGGCCGCUGGCACUUGCUGGGCAAAGAGACCACCCUGUCUUGAGGGAAUGGAGGUCUCUCCUCUUCAGCGCUCUUGGCUCUGGCCCAUUGCAAUGUCCCUGGCUUAAGGACCACCCUGUAAGGAGGGUUUGGGUCUCCUUCGCCGUGCUUAUGUAGCCACAAGUCACUUGGACACGCCAGGCAAAAGGACUGCCCUGUCACCAGGGUGUAAGGUCUUAUCCCUCUCAUUCUGAAACUAGCAGAGCCUCUUUGUGCCUGUGACUGAGUGACCCCCCUUUAAGAAGGGUUGAGGUUCUCGUUCUGUUGGUCACAGUAAAUUGCACUCGAAUGAUUUCUACUUGGCUUUUCUGGAUUCUGAAGUGAAAUGUGAUUGGUGUCCUAUGUAGUUCCUGUCCGGGUCACAUGUAACCUGGUGUGGCGAAGGGGCGGCUGUAAGGGGAUGGUGGAGGCCGUGAAAAAUUCAACCCUUUCUUCAAAAAAGCCAAGAAAUCACCAAAGAGAGCUCCCUCUAACUAGGGUGUAGGUCUUUCCCAAGAUUACACUCCCCUUUGAAAGCUAGUUAUAGAAACCAGCCUCUUGAGAGAGUUAAGGAUUUGCCCUUGUAGCUGUCCUGUGCCCGUGGCCUCCUCACGCUCUCAGCCAAGUCAAAGCCCAGCGUAUUCUGCAUCCAGCUGGCCCUGAGUUCUGUUGCAAGCUCUCCUGCCUUCUGCUACGGAUUGGUGCCGAAACCUAGGAACUGGGCAACUCAAAGGACAAAAGGAAGAGGACGACAGAAGCAUCAAAGAACCUGCAGGAGAAGAGAAGAGAAGAGAAGAGAAGAGAAGAGAAGAGAAGAGAAGAGAAGAGAAGAGAAGGCCAGUCGAAAACCACGCACACAUUGCACACAUGGCCCUCCCUGUGGCAUUUACACUUGUCCACGUAGGCUUAAUCCCCCUUGAGGCACCAAGGGAAAGGACCUGUCUGUAAACGGGGAUCAAGGUCCACUCCUUGCCAAGAGAAAUGCUUUAUGGGCCCAUUCCGCACCUGCGGCUGAGUGACCGCCCUUUAAGAAGGGUUGAGGUCUCUGUGGAUUUCAGCUCUUUAGGACCUAGCCUUUAACAUGCCCUGUGCCACUGACCUCUCCCUGUAAGAAGGGUGCGGGUCUCCCCUUUCUAGCUUGUCUUGGGCCGCUGGCACUUGUGGGGCAAAGAGACCACCCUCUCCUGAGGGAACGGAGGUCUCUCCUUUUCAGCGCUCUUGGCUCUGGCCCAUUGAAAUGCCCCUGGCUUAAGGACCACCCUGUAAGGAGGGUUUGGGUUUCCUUCGCCAGCCUUAUUUAGCCACAGGUGACCUUGACAUGCCCGGCAAAAGGACUGCCCUGUAACCGGGGUGUAAGGUCUUAUCCCUCUCGUUCGUAAACUAGGAGAGCCUUUUUGUGCCUGUGGUUGAGUGACCCCCCCUUUAAGAAGAGUCGAGGAGUCUCUGGCUUUCUACUCUUUAGGACCUAGCCUUUAAAAUGCCCUGUGCCAUUGACCUCUCCCUGUAAGAAGGGUGCAGGUCUCCCCUUUCUAGCUUGUCUUGGGCCACUGGCACUUGCUGGGCAAAGAGACCACCCUCUCCUGAGGGAACGGAGGUCUCUCCUCUUCAGCGCUCUUGGCUCUGGCCCAUUGCAAUGUCCCUGGCUUAAGGACCACCCUGUAAGGAGGGUUUGGGUCUCCUUCGCCAUGCUUAUGUAGCCACAAGUCACUUGGACACGCCAGGCAAAAGGACUGCCCUGUCACCAGGGUGUAAGGUCUUAUCCCUCUCAUUCUGAAACUAGGAGAGCCUUUUUGUGCCUGUGGUUGAGUGACCCCCCCUUUAAAUAGGGUUGAGGUUCUACUUCUGUUAGUCGCAGUAAAUUCCCUUAGAAUGAUUUCUAUUUGGCUUUUUUGGGCUUUGACGUGACAUCUGAUUUGUGACCCAUGUCUUUCUUCUCCGGGUCACAUGUAACCUGGUGUGGCGAAGGGGCGGCUGUAAGGGGAUGGUGGAGGCCGUGAAAAAUUCGACCCUUCUUUCCCAGAGAGCCAAGAAAUCGUCCCAAAAUCCAUAUGUCACAAAGUCUGGAACUGAACAGGUGAGGAAGGGGGCUCCUUUCAGAGCCUCCCUUCCAGGCGAUCCUUCCUCCUUUCCUCUUCCCCUGCCCAAUUUACCCUGCCCAGUCAACCUCAGCUUUGAGCCCUUGUUUUAUUCGGCACAAGAAUGACAUUGCUGGACGGCUUAGUGUUAAUCGUAUAGAUUCGGAGAGCUCUGUAAGUUGUGUCCGAAUUCCAGGCCUUUUGUUUCUUUGGUGAGAGACCGAGGUUAUUCCUAGGGUUAUGUUUGAAGUGAUGGAUGUGGCUGUCCUUUCGGAAAUGUGGUGAUGCUCAGCUGGUGUAAGUACGUGGAGUGGUAUUCAGAGCUUGCACGUGGGUGCACCUAACCCUAUUAACAGGACUGUGUCACAAGUAAAGGCUGUCCUUUUUGGUCAAGGUUAGGGGGCACAAAGCUGAAAUUUUCUUGGUGGGGUAGGAAGGUAAGUUGGAAGGGGUGUUGCCGAGGGAUGGAGGAUAUAAUGGUAAUGGGAGACUCGGCGGGAUUCCUCCCUUACCUGUUCAUUUCCAGAUCCUUUCACAUUGGGGACUUCUCCCCCCGCCCACCCGCCCACCCGCUUCUUUAAAGGAGGAAUAUUUUUCUAAAGAAAGGGUGACCGCCCUGUACUCAGGGAUCAGGUCUGUUUCCCUUUUCUCCUCUCUGCACUGGCCCUCUUAAUGCCAAAGUCACUUGGAGGGCAAAGAGACCCCCCUCUACCGAGGGAAUGGAGGUUUCUCCUUGUCCACCCGCUUGGCUACGGCCCUCUGUGAUGCCCCUGGCUUAAAGACCACCCUGUAAGGAGGGUUUGGGUCUCCUUCGCCAUGCUUAUGUAGCCAGAGGUCACGUUGACACGCCGGGCAAAAGGACUGCCCUGUAAGCAGGGUGUAAGGUCUUAAGCCUCUCCUUCCUAAACUAGGAGAGCCUUUUUUUUCGUGCCUGUGGCUGAGUGACCCUCCCUCUAAGAAGGGUCGAGGUCUCUCUGGCUCUCUAUUAUUUAGGACCCAGGCUUUACAAUGCCCUGUGCCAUUGACCUCUCCCUGUAAAAAGGGUGCAGGUCUCCCCUUUCUAGCUUGUCUUGGGCCGCUGGCACUUGCUGGGCAAAGAGACCACCCUGUCUUGAGGGAAUGGAGGUCUCUCCUCUUCAGCGCUCUUGGCUCUGGCCCAUUGCAAUGUCCCUGGCUUAAGGACCACCCUGUAAGGAGGGUUUGGGUCUCCUUCGCCGUGCUUAUGUAGCCACAAGUCACUUGGACACGCCAGGCAAAAGGACUGCCCUGUCACCAGGGUGUAAGGUCUUAUCCCUCUCAUUCUGAAACUAGCAGAGCCUCUUUGUGCCUGUGACUGAGUGACCCCCCUUUAAGAAGGGUUGAGGUUCUCGUUCUGUUGGUCACAGUAAAUUGCACUCGAAUGAUUUCUACUUGGCUUUUCUGGAUUCUGAAGUGAAAUGUGAUUGGUGUCCUAUGUAGUUCCUGUCCGGGUCACAUGUAACCUGGUGUGGCGAAGGGGCGGCUGUAAGGGGAUGGUGGAGGCCGUGAAAAAUUCAACCCUUUCUUCAAAAAAGCCAAGAAAUCACCAAAGAGAGCUCCCUCUAACUAGGGUGUAGGUCUUUCCCAAGAUUACACUCCCCUUUGAAAGCUAGUUAUAGAAACCAGCCUCUUGAGAGAGUUAAGGGUUUGCCCUUGUAGCUGUCCUGUGCCCGUGGCCUCCUCACGCUCUCAGCCAAGUCAAAGCCCAGCGUAUUCUGCAUCCAGCUGGCCCUGAGUUCUGCUGCAAGCUCUCCUGCCUUCUGCUACGGAUUGGUGCCGAAACCUAGGAACUGGGCAACUCAAAGGACAAAAGGAAGAGGACGACAGAAGCAUCAAAGAACCUGCAGGAGAAGAGAAGAGAAGAGAAGAGAAGAGAAGAGAAGAGAAGAGAAGAGAAGAGAAGAGAAGGCCAGUCGAAAACCACGCACACAUUGCACACAUGGCCCUCCCUGUGGCAUUUACACUUGUCCACGUAGGCUUAAUCCCCCUUGAGGCACCAAGGGAAAGGACCUGUCUGUAAACGGGGAUCAAGGUCCACUCCUUGCCAAGAGAAAUGCUUUAUGGGCCCAUUCCGCACCUGCGGCUGAGUGACCGCCCUUUAAGAAGGGUUGAGGUCUCUGUGGAUUUCAGCUCUUUAGGACCUAGCCUUUAACAUGCCCUGUGCCACUGACCUCUCCCUGUAAGAAGGGUGCGGGUCUCCCCUUUCUAGCUUGUCUUGGGCCGCUGGCACUUGUGGGGCAAAGAGACCACCCUCUCCUGAGGGAACGGAGGUCUCUCCUUUUCAGCGCUCUUGGCUCUGGCCCAUUGAAAUGCCCCUGGCUUAAGGACCACCCUGUAAGGAGGGUUUGGGUUUCCUUCGCCAGCCUUAUUUAGCCACAGGUGACCUUGACAUGCCCGGCAAAAGGACUGCCCUGUAACCGGGGUGUAAGGUCUUAUCCCUCUCGUUCGUAAACUAGGAGAGCCUUUUUGUGCCUGUGGUUGAGUGACCCCCCCCUUUAAGAAGAGUCGAGGAGUCUCUGGCUUUCUACUCUUUAGGACCUAGCCUUUAAAAUGCCCUGUGCCAUUGACCUCUCCCUGUAAGAAGGGUGCAGGUCUCCCCUUUCUAGCUUGUCUUGGGCCACUGGCACUUGCUGGGCAAAGAGACCACCCUCUCCUGAGGGAACGGAGGUCUCUCCUCUUCAGCGCUCUUGGCUCUGGCCCAUUGCAAUGUCCCUGGCUUAAGGACCACCCUGUAAGGAGGGUUUGGGUCUCCUUCGCCAUGCUUAUGUAGCCACAAGUCACUUGGACACGCCAGGCAAAAGGACUGCCCUGUCACCAGGGUGUAAGGUCUUAUCCCUCUCAUUCUGAAACUAGGAGAGCCUCUUUGUGCCUGUGGUUGAGUGACCCCCCCUUUAAAUAGGGUUGAGGUUCUACUUCUGUUAGUCGCAGUAAAUUCCCUUAGAAUGAUUUCUAUUUGGCUUUUUUGGGCUUUGACGUGACAUCUGAUUUGUGACCCAUGUCUUUCUUCUCCGGGUCACAUGUAACCUGGUGUGGCGAAGGGGCGGCUGUAAGGGGAUGGUGGAGGCCGUGAAAAAUUCGACCCUUCUUUCCCAGAGAGCCAAGAAAUCGUCCCAAAAUCCAUAUGUCACAAAGUCUGGAACUGAACAGGUGAGGAAGGGGGCUCCUUUCAGAGCCUCCCUUCCAGGCGAUCCUUCCUCCUUUCCUCUUCCCCUGCCCAAUUUACCCUGCCCAGUCAACCUCAGCUUUGAGCCCUUGUUUUAUUCGGCACAAGAAUGACAUUGCUGGACGGCUUAGUGUUAAUCGUA